rnacentral:lncRNA from 1 species
AGGGACUCUGAUUUGCCUUUAGUGUAUUAAAUUUACAUAGUUGACGAAUGGAUAAAUCUCUUUUAAUACAACAUAUAAUGUUUAUAGAUAAAACUGGAAUAUAUUAUGUACAAUUUAUGUAAGUGUAUUUGCUGGUGUGCAUACUCACAAUAUAUCUUAUCAUUCCGACGACGUCAUUGAUAAGAUAGAAAGAGAAAUUUAAAAAAAAAUGAAGGAAUUAUCAAUUAACUAAGCCAUAUGCAGCAAAGGACCUGUGAUGUCAUUGAUGAUCAAUGUUGCUGUCUGCUCUAUGAACCUACUACAAUACUUGAUUAAGUUUGAAGAAUCAAAGAAGUACGUGCAAAGGACAUUCUAGAAGGUCUAUAUUUAAUAAUGAGAAGACAAGGACAUAUGUGGACCGAUACUUCGACCCAAAACUUAUUUACAAAAAUGUGCAUACUAUCAAAAGAAAGUCUUAUAUUGUGGGAUCGAUUUUUGUGAAGGCAAAUUUUUAUUAAAAGACCCAUCUUGAAUCCAAAUUAGCUGGUCUUACAAAAUGAUAAGGACCUCAGACGGGUCUAGGAUGGAUUUCUAGACCGAAGCUCAACAAUACUAGUGUACACCUAUGUGUAUAAAUGUAACUUAUUGCUAGUAUUAAUAUUAUAAGUAAGUAAGUAUGUAACUUUUAAGAAUAUUGUCUUUCCUCCUUGCCUUGACACUUGACAGUUGAGACCCUCCCUCUCUUCUAUAUACAUAUUAUGUCUUCUCCUCCUAUUUAUUAUUUAUCUUACAUGCAUAAUAUAAUGUUAUGUAUGACCUUGAAUGAGAGUCAACAAAUAUAUGGAAAAAGUGCAGAUUUUCAACUCAUACGUAUUCUCUCUUUUUUUCCCCCUUUUGCUUCGAGGCAGAAUUUCAUCAAUCAAAGUACCAAAGAAGAGGAAGGAUUCUCAUCACGCUGCACAUUGUUAUUUUUUACUUAAAAAGUAAUAAGUAAGGAAAAGAGGAGAAACCCACACUAAGAAAGAAGAAGUUCAAGUUCUAUAAUAUAAUUCUACAAUAGUAGUCGCUAUAUAUACAAUCUAAUAUAAUUUCUUUUUCUGUUUUACAAAGUUAAAUGUGCAGAAGAAGGGAAAAAUAAAGAUUGGGAUUUGGGCCCCUUACAAUCUACAGUAAUGCAAUCCAGCCCUGGUCACUUUAAGUGAAGCAUCCAUCACAUAUGAGCAUGGACUAUGUACUGUACAUACAUAGUUGAUAGAACGUCUGAUUGA